rnacentral:lncRNA from 1 species
ACAAAAUCCCCUGCCUUUCUCCCAAAGUUUCAGAGCUGAAAUUAACAUCCAAACUUCAAAUCUUCAAAUGAAAAAACCAAAAAAAUCAGAAAACUUCAAAAACAUAAAUAUAACACUGUUCAUUGAAAAUUUCAGUUUAAUUUCAAGUUUGGCAGUCACAUAUACAAAAAUCUUUAAAAAUAUACAAAACUAUGAAAAUCCAAAAGAAGGUCACUGUUUCAUUAGAGUUUUAAGCUAAUUUUGAUACUCUAGCUCAUAAUUUCACUCCCUGGUUCUCUUGCUGCUUCGUUGAAAUUUCUGGGUUAUUCACAAUUGAGAUACUCUAGCUCAUAAUUUCACUCCCUGGGAAAAUCCAAAAGAAGGUCACUGUUUCAUUAGAGUUUUAAGCUAAUUUUGAUACUCUAGCUCAUAAUUUCACUCCCUGGGUCUCUUGCUGCUUCGUUGAAAUUUCUGGGUUAUUCACAAUUGAUUUCAAGCAAUUUCUGGUUUCAUUCAGUUUGUUUGGGUGGUUUAUUUGUUGUUGCUGGGUUUUCAACUUCGUUUGAGUUUUUGUUAAGCAUAUUUCUGGGUUAAACUUGAGUUGGCUGUUGAUUUGACUCUCACUAACUGCUGUUACACCCUCUGCUGCUGAUACUCAAUUCCUUUUCUGUCAAUUGCAUUUCCAGGUACACUUCAUUAAACCUCCUUAAUGUACCUUUGAAUUGAAGUUGAAAUGGAAGAGUUCAAUUGUUUAUGUUUGUCAUUUGAUACUUUUUAGCUCAGUAGAUGUUGAUAAGAA